rnacentral:snRNA from 1 species
AUUGCUUCUUGGCCUUUUGGCUAAGAUCAAGUAUAAUAUCUGUUUCAGUUUUGAAAAUUGCUUGCCUUUUGUAUUAAAAAACAUGUACUUUACUAUGACUGAGAAAUUCUAU